AGGAGUGGUGAUUGGCCCUCCAGGGAACACUGCCCUGGCGCCAAAUCACCUCUGGGCCCCUCGGCUCUCAGGGGGGCCAAUCUCAACCCAUGACACCUUUCAUGAAAAAUUUGGUUCAGCCCUCAGACUGCCUGUUUUGCGUAUGCUGAGCAGAUGGGAAUGGGCUGUCCUUGCUGUCCAAGAUGUUACUGGGGAUUCUUCUUCCAGGGCUGUGAGACAGAUCAUGAGGUCAUGAACCUUGUUCUAGAGCAGAAGGAAGAUACUAAGUUAAAUGCUACCACAAAUUUCAUUCUCACCACUCCAUCCGUCUCUGAGUUCUGCUACCGUGACUGAGGCAGCCUAAGCUCUGUGGGCUGCUUCCACUCCCACCCUGCCAGGCAACAGGAGAGUUGUGAUUCCUGUCCAGGCUCCAUACUGCACCGAUGACAACUUCAGUAAAGUGGGAAGACACAAGAAAAGAUGCUCAUCUUUUCCAAAUUAAACAAUCAGGAAAGAGA